UCCGUCUAAAAGACAUGCUAGUAUGUAUAACCAAUUUUGUAGACUGCAACUUGUAGUUUACUUUAUUGAUUGGUAUUUUUUAAGUUUAAUGUACUAGCUAAAUUUUUAUUUCCGGCUAAUUAAAUAAUACUGACUAUAUAUUUUUUUUGUAGUGAUUCUGGGUUGGUUUUUGAAACCAGAUGAUGUCCAGAAAGCUCUUUCUGGCAUUCUUAUACAGAGUAGUUGUAUAGAAAAAAGAGUGAAUUGUAUUUCUUCAGCUAUUCUUGAUGAAAGUGCUCUAGGAUCUCUUUUGUCUCUGCAAUCAUAUUUUACUGCAGAUGGAUGGAAAGUGCUCAAUGAAAUAAUUGAUGUCAAGUGUCAGCAACGAAUUUGGCCUUGUGCUUUGUGCCAAAAAAGCACUUCUGUGGGCAAUGACAUUGGGGGCUCAAUAGCAUGUGAUUCCUGCCCUUUGUGGUUUCACAAAAAAUGUGUUGACAAGAAAGAGGGUUGGUUUAUAAAAUCAAAAUACUGGUUUUGUCGUUUUUGUUCAACUGUUUGAUUGGAAAUUAUACAUGCCUUUGUUUUAUUUGAUGAGUUUAUGGGACGCAUGAACACUCUGGCUUCUAAGAUGCAUGCUGGGAGUUAUUGUUGAGUAAUAAUUUAUUUUACCAAAACAAAGGCUGAAAAUUGUGUAUGCACUGUACCAUUUUUAUCACAAACUGGUUGAGUUAUAUUUUUACCGUUACCAUCAUUUGGAAUUAGUUUGCUGGCUGUUGAGAUAUGGUUUUAACUAAAGUAAACUUUCAUGAUUUGAAAUUUAUUUUAUUGAUCAUUAGCCAACAGCUAUCAAAGAAGUCUAUUCAACACAAGGAACUGGACCCUCUGGUGUAUUGCCAGAGAUGUUGAAAGCUUCAGGGGAUGUGGGUGUCAGUGGAUGUCAUAUCUUUACAAUGCAUUUGUACUUGAAGGUAAAAUUGCUCCAAUAUGUGGUUCAUACUGAGGAAUUGAACUACUUGCCAGGUAAUAAAUAUUUUAGAAAGAAUUAUUGCAAACAAAAAAUAAGGAGCAGUAUAUUUAUCAAUAACAUGCAAUUUGGUUUUAUGUCAGGAAAAGGACUGGGUAUCAGAAUGUAAAGAUACAGAUGUUUCGAUAUCAGCAUAUAGGAUGCUAAAACGAUGAUAAUGAUGAUGAUGAUAAUGAUGAUGUUGAUGAUGAUGAUAUU